UGGGCACCAUUGAGCACUGAGUUAACGA
rnacentral:piRNA from 1 species